GGGGGGGGGGGGGGGGGGGCGGAGGGCGGGGGGGGGGGACGGGAGGGCCCGGCGUGCGUGGGGUGCUGGAGGGGCGGGCGGGGGGGGAACAAGAGAGUAUCCUGCCCUUGACUUUGGGAUAACUUCAGGAAACUGGGGCUAAUACCGGAUAGGAGCUCCUGCUGCAUGGUGGGGGUUGGAAAGUUUCGGCGGUUGGGGAUGGACUCGCGGCUUAUCAGCUCGCUGGUGGGGUAGUGGCUUACCAAGGCAUUGGCGGGUAGCCGGCCUGAGAGAGUGAGUGGGCCCAUAGGGACUGAGAGACGGACCAGACGACUACGGGCGGCAACAGGGCGGAAUAUUGCACAAUGGGCGGAAGCCUGAUGCAGCAACGCCGCGUGCGGGAUGACGGCCUUCGGGUUGUGAACAGCGUCCGCCUGUGACGAAGCGUGAGUGACGGUAAUGGGUCAAGAAGCACCGGCUAACUACGUG
rnacentral:rRNA from 1 species